rnacentral:rRNA from 1 species
ACUACGGGUGGCAGCAGUGGGGAAUAUUGCACAAUGGGGGAAACCCUGAUGCAGCGACGCCGCGUGAGUGAAGAAGUAUUUCGGUAUGUAAAGCUCUAUCAGCAGGGAAGAAAGAGCGACCUUUGGGUCGCCAGACGGUACCUGACUAAGAAGCCCCGUCUCACUACGUGCCAGCAGCCGCGGUAAUACGUAGGGGGCAAGCGUUAUCCGGAUUUACUGGGUGUAAAGGGAGCGUAGACGGCAGCACAAGUCUGAAGUGAAAUGCCGGGGCUUAACCCCGGAACUGCUUUGGAAACUGUGCAGCUAGAGUGCAGGAGAGGUAAGUGGCAUUCCUAGUGUAGCGGUGAAAUGCGUAGAUAUUAGGAGGAACCCCAGUGGCGAAGGCGGCCUGCUGGGCUUUUCCUGCCGCUGAGGCUCGAAAGUGUGGGGAGCAAACAGGAUUAGAUACCCGUGUAGUC